CUUGAACGCUGGCGGCAGGCCUAACACAUGCAAGUCGAGCGAGCGGCGGACGGGUGAGUAAUGUCUGGGAAACUGCCUGAUGGAGGGGGAUAACUACUGGAAACGGUAGCUAAUACCGCAUACCAUCAGAUGUUCCCAGGUGGGAGUAGCUAGUAGGUGGGGUAACGGCUCACCUAGGCGACGAUCCCUAGCUGGUCUGAGAGGACGACCAGCCACACUGGAAAGGAGACACGGUCCAGACUCCUACGGGAGGCAUCAGGGGGGAAUAUUGCACCAUGGGCGCAAGCCUGAUGCAGCCAUGCCGCGUGUAUGAAGAAGGCCUUAGGGUUGGAAAGUACUUUCAGCGGGGAGGCGUUACCCGCAGAAGAAGCACCGGCUAACUCCGUGCCAGCAGCCGCGGUAAUUC
rnacentral:rRNA from 1 species